CUUCGCGGCUGCCGGAACAGUCUUGCAUGCUUGGUGCGACUCUCCGGACUCACUGGUGGAUUUGUGGGCUACCUUCGGACGCGCUUAGCGCAUCUGCCACGUGAUUGUCCGAGCCUGGGGUCAGUGUGCGCUAUGGAAGGGAAAGUGUGGUAAUUUAAUAAAAUAGAAGACUUCCAAGAAUUCCUAAAGAAAAGACCUGACUUAAACAGAAAAUCUGAUGACCAAACACAGAACUCAAGAAAAUCACCAAAAGAAUUUCAUUUCCAUUCGCCCUCGAGCCCUGCGGACGCUGUGUUUAAUCCUCUCCAGUCUGCCUGUCUCCCCCCCGCUGUCUGGGUAAGUGGGAAAAGAUCGCACGAGGGGAAGAAGAAGAUGGAGCCAGCAUCUGUGCUUCUACCGCCGAAAAUGUGACCGUGAGCGUGAAUUCUCUUACGGCGGACCCCGAGCGUCUGUGGCUGCACUCACUGCUCCGCUAGAGCCUGCGGUGGUCCAAGUGGGUGGGUUAUGUGGAGGUCGCCUCCCUCCCAUGGCCAAGGCUCUAAGUAUGUAAACUGGGCCCAAGCCACCCCAGGACUCUCAUGCAGCUCCGCUUCCCUUGCUUCUUCCAAUGCGCCCAAGUUUAGAAGGUCAAACGGCAUCAGGGAAGCUUCUAACCUGCGUAUCCGCCCAGAAGUCGGGAAGACUAAAACAAGUUGCUUAACGCAACUGCUGACUUUACAGCUCAACUGGGGCUCCAGCAUUAGUCGAGGCAGGGUCUGGAUGGCUGCUUUGCUUUGAGCUCUACCAAACGCUUCGGCCAAACACAGUCACUGUCUGCACUUUCCAAUAGCUGCUUUUUACUCGCUCUCUUUGACCACAAGUAAGAGUGAAAGAAAAGGGAAAUAGAUUUUAGUAGGCAAUUCA